rnacentral:tRNA from 1 species
GUUUAAAUAGCUUAAAUAUAAAGCAUAGUAUUGAAGCUACUAAGAUAGUUAGCAAACUUUUGAACA